UGUAUGAAUGGCGUUUUCAUUUAUUCCACACGGAUCCUCCGUGUGGCCUGCACCCAAACACGGCCAACGCGAGGACCCCGACCCAACGUGACCAACGCUCCAACUCGCUUGCCGGCCGUUUAUUUGAUUCGCGGAAAAAGGGGGCGCGUAGCUGCACGUUGGAAGCUCUUGACCCGAGGGAGUGAAAAGGAAAAAGAAAAACAAGCGUUCAGCACGGGCGCGGCCGGGCGUCGGCGUCGGGUCCGAAGAGCCUCUGGAGGAAACGCAGCUGCAGCGAAAGGGACAGGAAGAGGAAGCCGACCCACCUGCCCGGGCGCGGCCGAGCGCCGAGUCGGACCGCGGCCGCUUUUCUUCACCUCCGGCGGAAUCCUGCAGAAAAGAACGGCGAGGACGUCAAACGCG